UACGUAGGGCGCAAGCGUUAUCCGGAAUUAUUGGGCGUAAAGAGCUCGUAGGCGGUUUGUCGCGUCUGCUGUGAAAGACCGGGGCUCAACUCCGGUUCUGCAGUGGGUACGGGCAGACUAGAGUACUGCAGGGGAGACUGGAAUUCCUGGUGUAGCGGUGGAAUGCGCAGAUAUCAGGAGGAACACCGGUGGCGAAGGCGGGUCUCUGGGCAGUAACUGACGCUGAGGAGCGAAAGCGUGGGGAGCGAACAGG
rnacentral:rRNA from 1 species